rnacentral:misc_RNA from 1 species
UGGGGGUUUGCUUCUACGAAGAACAACACUAGGUUGAUUAGUUCUUUGUCUUUUGAGUUUGGUUUUUAGGUGGUGUCUUGGUUGGGAAAAAUUGGGGUUAGUUUGGUGGAAAUUUAGGCUGGCUUGGUGUUGCUGAUCUGUUAGUACAGCAGUAGUGGUAAUAAUAGUAGAGGUUUGGUUAGAUGAAUAAUUCGUCGGUAGUGAUUGUGAUUUGUGGUUUGGUGAGCGUGAGUUCAAUGUCAGGUGAAGAAUAGUAGCACUAAAUUCGUGUUAGGUAUUAUGUCCAGUGUCAAAGGCAAGACAUAUAUAGUUCUUAUUAUCAGUAAUUAAGUUA